UCAGACGAUGCGUCAUGCAUAUCAAUAAGCGGAGGAAAAGAAACUAACAAGGAUUCCCCUAGUAACGGCGAGUGAAGCGGGAAGAGCUCAAAUUUGAAAUCUUAAAGGGUUUCCCUUUACGAAUUGUAGUUUAAAGAAGUGUUUUCUGUUGAGGUUUUGGUAAAAGUUCUUUGGAAUAGGACAUCAUAGAGGGUGAGAAUCCCGUAUUUGACCUUUACUUUCAACUUUGUGAUACACUUUCAAAGAGUCGGAUUGUUUGGGAAUGCAGUCCAAAAUGGGUGGUAAAUUUCAUCUAAAGCUAAAUAUUGGCGAGAGACCGAUAGCGAACAAGUACCGUGAGGGAAAGAUGAAAAGAACUUUGAAAAGAGAGUUAAACAGUACGUGAAAUUGUCAAAAGGGAAGCGUUUGACACCAGUGUUGUUUUUCUGAAAAUCAAUUAAAGAACUGUUUAUGCUAAGCUGUUUAGACUUUAUCAGCUAUCUGUUUAGUUUUGAGCUUUUCUUUAAUGCACUUUUCAGUUAACAAGUCAACAUCAAUUUCUUUUGCUGUAAAAAAGCUUGAGGAAGGUGGCUUGAGAUUCGUCUUAAGUGUUUAUAGCCUCUUGCCUAUGCAGUCGGAGAGAUUGAGGUCUGCAGCGUAGAUCCUUCGGGGCUAAAUGCAUUUGUGCUAAGUUAUAGCAUUUUCAUAGACAACUUGUUGACUAUGAUUUGUCUUGUAGCUUACUCGCUUAUGUCAUUUUACCUACGCUUAGGAUGUUGAAUCUGUGCGAGACUAC
rnacentral:rRNA from 1 species